UUUGGUGUUGGAAAUUGGAAAAUUGCUUCAUGUAUUCAUGUUCCGUAGCUAUUUGUAUAAGCCCACAAUUUUUUGCUUUAUCCUACUACCUUCUGCUUCGUUUAUGCUUCCUUUAUUCAUGCUAUAAACUGUAAACCAUGGCUUCAACUGAUGCACUUGCACAUUCAACGAAUAAGAACAUUGUUCGCAAUCGAAGAUUAAGAGAAAAAUAUGCUUCCUUAUCAGUGGAAGAAAAAGAAGCUCGUAGAGCUAAACAAAGAGAAGCUUAUCAAAAGAGGAGAGGAAGGAAAGCUGCUGCAUCCACAUCUUCUAUGAAUCAACAGCAAACUGAUGGUAUAGAACUUCCAGUUGGGUGUGACGCACAGCAAAACAAUGAGCACAAUAACCAACAGAGUAUUGCUGUUAAACAACUUCUGCAACAGAAUAGAAACAAAGAGACUAAUCUGCAACAAUCUAUUGCUGUCAAAAGUAAUUCUCUGUGCAAAACCAAUGGUAAAUCAAAAAGCAAGCUGAAAAAGCAUGAUUUUGUAUUUUCGACAUUUGAACAAGGUUCUUCAUCAAAAAAUUCGUCCAACUAUAAAUGCAGAAGAAUCAAUAAACUAAAUGUGUCAGGUGAUCCUCCUAUAUGCGAUAGCUGCUCUAAUUUCUUGCAUGAAACAGUUGAUAAUCUUGCAGGUAUAUCAAUGACAGUACAGCCUCAGCCAGUGGAAACCAAUGUUUCUAAUGUCAUAAAAAAUCAUCCAAAAGUGAAAAUGUAUAUAAAGAUGAGAACUUUGAUGAGACUCAGAGGCAACUACCUACAUUACUGGCCUCAAAGAUUCAAAGAUGCUUUUUUGUUGGAAGUUUUUGUUUUAAAGCCCACUUCUACAGACUGCUCAUCUCCUUCAUUAAUAUUUUAGCAUUCAUUUUAUCAGGUUAUAUAAAAUGCAUUUGAAGAAUAGGAAGCAUAAGUUCUUUUUGCUUUCAUAUGUGUUCAUUAUUUAUAACAAAUCUCUAUCUCCCCUCUCAGGUCUUUUGUUAUUUGAAUAAACUAAAUCACUCAUUGUUGUGAUUCCUUGCAGUUGACCUUCUAUUCAAUGUAUCAGAAGAUUCAGAUUAUGUCCGGACUAUUCUAGCUAAAGCUAUAGACAAACGUCCUGACCUCAAAACUAAGGCUGCUGAGUCAAAUAAAGCAGCAAAGAUUGGAUAAGCUUCAGCACUUACAAGAAGUGACAACAUUCAAGUAACCCUAUACUAUUGUAUUCAAGAUUGGAUAAGCAAGCACUUACAAGAAGUGACAACAUUCAAGUAACCCUAUACUAUUGUAAUCAUGUCUCUCACAAUUUUGCCAGCUCUAGAGAAUAUCAACGUGAUGUGAUUAUAUCUACUAUCCAAUUCAUUCUUAUAAACCUUAUUCCUAAUUCUAGAAAAUGUUGGUCCAAGUGUAUCAGAUGUCAAAGCUUCAGAAAUUCUAACCUCAACUACUUUAAUGCAUAUGUCACCUGAUUAUUUAAGCAUAUGUCAGCUUCUCAUGUUUUUGGAUAGACCACAAGACAUUGCUGCUGUAUUUGAGAAACUCUUGAGAACAAAAAGUAAGAAUGAUGGUUUAUUGGGAUUUCAAAUAGCAUUUGACCUUGUAGAGAAUGAACACCAAGCUUAUCUUUUGAAAAUGAGGGACUAACUUUCCAGUCCCAAGAAAGAUAUUCAGAUAACAGAGGGUAAUCAAAAUUCUGAAAGAAACUAUUUAUGCUGCGAAGUUAC